rnacentral:misc_RNA from 1 species
GUAGGUGAACCUGCGGAAGGAUCAUUAACGUAUCCAUCCGUUAAACUGCCAGUGCAUUUUUCCCUGUACACCAACGGGUCCGUCUCUUUGGGUUAAACUCCAUUGAGGCGGGUAGCCCGCAACCAAUUUGGUGACUUAUGGUAAAUAGAAGCUUUUUAACCCCUCUUAAUAUUUGUCUAAAAAAGUCCUCUUCUCUAACGGGAAUUGGGCGAAAUAAAAAACCGCACAACUCUUAACAAUGGAUAUCUUG